rnacentral:rRNA from 1 species
AAUGCAGUCGAACGGACCAUUAAUUUAUUAGUGGUUAGUGGCGAAAGGGUUAGUAAUGGAUAGGUAACGUACCCUAUGCUUCGGAAUAGCGUCGGUUUCUUCGGAAACCUACCGAAAGGGGCGGUAAUACCGGAUAAUAUCAUAAGUUGAUAGACUUAUGAUCAAAGAUUUAUCGGCAAAGGAGCGGCCUAUCUCCUAUCAGCUUGUUGGUGAGGUAACGGCUCACCAAGGCAAUGACGGGUAGCGGAACUGAGAGGUUGACCCGCAACAUCGGGACUGAGACACUGCCCGGACCUCCACGGAGGGCUGCAGUAACGAAUAUUGCGCAAUGGGCGAAAGCCUGACGCAGCGACGCCGCGUGUGGGAAGAAGUUUUUCGGAAUGUAAACCACUGUCAGGGUGAAGAAAGUCUACUCCGGUAGAUUGAUCUAACCCACAGGAAGUCACGGCUAACUUCGUGCCAGCAGCCGCGGUAAGACGAAGGUGGCAAGCGUUGUUCGGUGUUACUGGGCUUAAAGCGUGUGUAGGCGGAAAAGUAAGCGUCUUGUGAAAGCCCCCGGCUUAACCGGGGAAUUGCUCGGCGAACUACUUUUCUUGAGGCAAGUAGGGGUGCACGGAACUCUUGGUGGAGCGGUGGAAUGCGUAGAUAUCAAGAGGAACGCCGGUGGAGAAAUCGGUGCACUGGGCUUG